GCCGACGUAGCUCAAUUGGCUAGAGCAGCUGAUUUGUAAUCAGCAGGUUGUGAGUUCGAGUCUCACUGUUGGCU
rnacentral:tRNA from 1 species